AGAAUCAACGCUGGCGGCGUGCCUAACACAUGCAAGUCGCACGAGAAAGGGUAGCAAUACCUGAGUACAGUGGCGCACGGGUGAGUAACACGUGAAUGAUCUACCUCCGAGUGGGGAAUAACUGAGGGAAACCUUAGCUAAUACCGCAUAACACUUACGAGUCAAAGCAGUAAUGCGCUUGGAGAGGAGUUCGCGGCAGAUUAGUUAGUUGGCAGGUAAUGGCCUACCAAGACGAUGAUCUGUA
rnacentral:rRNA from 1 species